rnacentral:rRNA from 1 species
AAACCAACAGGGAUUGCCUUAGUAACGGCGAGUGAAGCGGCAAAAGCUCAAAUUUGAAAUCUGGCACCUUCGGUGUCCGAGUUGUAAUUUGAAGAAGGUAACUUUGGAGUUGGCUCUUGUCUAUGUUCCUUGGAACAGGACGUCACAGAGGGUGAGAAUCCCGUGCGAUGAGAUGCCCAAUUCUAUGUAAAGUGCUUUCGAAGAGUCGAGUUGUUUGGGAAUGCAGCUCUAAGUGGGUGGUAAAUUCCAUCUAAAGCUAAAUAUUGGCGAGAGACCGAUAGCGAACAAGUACAGUGAUGGAAAGAUGAAAAGAACUUUGAAAAGAGAGUGAAAAAGUACGUGAAAUUGUUGAAAGGGAAGGGCUUGAGAUCAGACUUGGUAUUUUGCGAUCCUUUCCUUUUUGGUUGGGUUCUCCGCAGCUUACUGGGCCAGCAUCGGUUUGGACGGUAGGAUAAUGAUUAAGGAAUGUGG